GACGAACGCUGGCGGCGUGCUUAACACAUGCAAGUCGAACGGAAAGGCCCUGCUUUUGUGGGGUGCUCGAGUGGCGAACGGGUGAGUAACACGUGAGUAACCUGCCCUUGACUUUGGGAUAACUUCAGGAAACUGGGGCUAAUACCGGAUAGGAGCUCCUGCUGCAUGGUGGGGGUUGGAAAGUUUCGGCGGUUGGGGAUGGACUCGCGGCUUAUCAGCUUGUUGGUGGGGUAGUGGCUUACCAAGGCUUUGACGGGUAGCCGGCCUGAGAGGGUGACCGGCCACCUUGGGACUGCGAUACGGCCCAGACUCCUACGGGAGGCAGCAGUGGGGAAUAUUGCGCAAUGAGCGGACGCCUGAUGCAGCAACGCCGCGUGCGGGAUGACGGCCUUCGGGUUGUAAACCGCUUUCGCCUGUGACGAAGCGUGAGUGACGGUAAUGGGUAAAGAAGCACCGGCUAACUACGUG
rnacentral:rRNA from 1 species